rnacentral:rRNA from 1 species
CCUACGGGGGGCAGCAGUGGGGAAUAUUGCGCAAUGGGCGAAAGCCUGACGCAGCGACGCCGCGUGAGGGAUGAAGGUCUUCGGAUCGUAAACCUCUGUCAGCAGGGAAGAACGGUCACUGUGCUAAUCAGCAGUGAAUUGACGGUACCUGCAAAGGAAGCACCGGCUAACUCCGUGCCAGCAGCCGCGGUAAUACGGAGGGUGCGAGCGUUAAUCGGAAUUACUGGGCGUAAAGCGCUCGUAGGCGGUAUGUCAAGUCAAGGGUGAAAUCCCCGCGCUCAACGUGGGAACUGCCUUUGAAACUGGCAAACUGGAGUGUGGGAGAGGAUAGUGGAAUUCCAGGUGUAGGAGUGAAAUGCGUAGAUAUCUGGAGGAACAUCAGUGGCGAAGGCGACUAUCUGGCACAUAACUGACGCUGAGGAGCGAAAGCGUGGGUAGCAAACAGGAUUAGAUACCCGAGUAGUC